CUGCCAUACCCAUCACAGGGCCACAUUAACCCCAUGAUCAACCUCUCCAACAUCCUUGUCUCCACAAACCCCGACAUCCUCGUCACCUUUCUCGUUACUCAACACUACUUUUCCCGGACCACCUCCAACGCUAAACCCCACAACAUAACCUUCGCCGCCUUCCCUGACCUCCAUCUCUCCGCCGACACCUUCGAAGCCACCAUCCACGCCGUCAUGACGCAGAUGGAAGGGCCGCUCCAAACCCUCCUCGACCGCCUCCACCCACCGCCCACGCUCCUCAUCUGCGACGCGUUUCUCUCGUGGGCUGUCGCCCUGGCCAACCGCCGGAAAAUUCCGG
rnacentral:lncRNA from 1 species